rnacentral:tRNA from 1 species
GCAUUUGUGGUUCAGUGGUAGAAUCCUCGCCUGCCACGCGGGGGGCCCGGGUUCGAUUCCCGGCCAAUGCA